CUGGGGGAUCUUGCGCAUGGGCGAAGCCUGACCAGCGACGCCGCGUGAGGGAUGACGGCCUUCGGGUUGUAAACCUCUUUCAGCUCCGACGAAGCGGAAGUGACGGUAGGAGCAGAAGAAGCACCGGCCAACUACGUGCCAGCAGCCGCGGUAAUACGUAGGGUGCAAGCGGUUGUCCGGAUUUAUUGGGCGUAAAGAGCUCGUAGGCGGUCUGCUGUCGCGUCGGCUGUGAAAACUCGGGGCUCAACUCCGAGCUUGCAGUCGAAACCGGGCAGGCUAGAGUUCGGCAGGGGAGACUGGAAUUCCUGGUGUAGCGGUGAAAUGCGCAGAUAUCAGGAGGAACACCGGUGGCGAAGGCGGGUCUCUGGGCCGAUACUGACGCUGAGGAGCGAAAGCGUGGGGAGCGAACAGGAUUAGAUACCCUGGUAGUCCACGCCGUAAACGUUGGGCGCUAGGUGGGGGAUCCCUUCACGGGUUCCGUGCCGCAGCUAACGCAUUAAGCGCCCCGCCUGGGGA
rnacentral:rRNA from 1 species